rnacentral:rRNA from 1 species
AACGAACGCUGGCGGCGUGCUUAACACAUGCAAGUCGAACGGCAAGGCCCUGCUUUUUUGGGGUUCUCGAGUGGCGAACGGGUGAGUAACACGUGAGUAACCUGCCCUUGACUUUGGGAUAACUUCAGGAAACUGGGGCUAAUACCGGAUAGGAUCUCCUGCUGCAUGGUGGGGGUUGGAAAGUUUCGGCGGUGGGGGAUGGACUCGCGGCUUAUCAGCUUGUUGGUGGGGUAGUGGCUUACCAAGGCUUUGACGGGUAGCCGGCCUGAGAGGGUGACCGGCCACAUUGGGACUGCGAUACGGCCCAGACUCCUACGGGAGGCAGCAGUGGGGAAUAUUGCACAAUGGGAGGAAGCCUGAUGCAGCAACGCCGCGUGCGUGAUGACGGCCUUCGGGUUGUAAACCGCUUUCGCCUGUGACGAAGCGUGAGUGACGGUAAUGGGUAAAGAAGCACCGGCUAACUACGUG